rnacentral:lncRNA from 1 species
CCCCGGGUCACCUCACCAAAUGUUUCACAGCUGGCAGGAGCAGGUGCACCUAUUAAAUAAAUUACUCAAGCUACAGAGGGGCUGGUGCAUCAUCUUCCUGUGACUCCAGAGAGAGGCUUGCUUUCAUCAGUCUACCGUCCAUGAAGAAAUCCCUGAGCUUAAUCAAAGGCUCAUUGUCCUGGGACAUUGUACAUAAGAGGAAACCUCUUGGGCCUCCAGUUCUCACUCUUCAGAUACAGAGGAUGUGAGUUGCACCCUGAGCCCUCUCGCUCUCAGCUGAGUGAAGCGUGCUUCGGUAAGGCAAUUUUCUGUACAUUUACUUACUCCUCACUUGAUUCAACAAAUAUUGGUCGAGCCACAUGUUGACCCAAAUCCUCUUUCAAUGUCAAGCAAAUUGUAUUUAUUUGGAAAUCAUGCCUGACUUUUAACAUUUAUAAUUAGACAUUUAUAUUAUGAUACAUGAUGCCUUCUCAUCUAGUUUUGUUUCCUUUUUAUUUCACUGAGUCAGAGAGGGUUGGAGAUGUGAUUGUGUUGUGCUUGUAAUAUGCUGACAGAAAGCUGACAGCUGCUGAAAUCACCCCAGACAGAAGCCUGUAUUUUAAGAGGAAUAAUACCAGGGAGAGAGGGAUGAAGAGGAAAAUAGAAACUGGGGGGGGG